AUUGAACGCUGGCGGCAUGCUUUACACAUGCAAGUCGAACGGUAACAGGCCGCAAGGUGCUGACGAGUGGCGAACGGGUGAGUAAUGCAUCGGAACGUGCCCAGUCGUGGGGGAUAACUACUCGUAAGAGUAGCUAAUACCGCAUACGAUCUAUGGAUGAAAGCGGGGGACCGUAAGGCCUCGCGCGAUUGGAUCGGCCGAUGUCAGAUUAGGUAGUUGGUGGGGUAAAGGCUCACCAAGCCAACGAUCUGUAGCUGGUCUGAGAGGACGACCAGCCACACUGGCAGUGAGACACGGCACAGACUCCGACGGGAGGCAGCAGUGGGGAAUUUUGGGCAAUGGGCGCAAGCCUGAUCCAGCAAUGCCGCGUGCAGGAAGAAGGCCUUCGGGUUGGAAACUGCUUUUGUACGGAACGAAACGGCUCUGGUUAAUACCCGGGGCUAAUGACGGUACCGUAAGAAUAAGCACCGGCUAACUACGUG
rnacentral:rRNA from 1 species